rnacentral:rRNA from 1 species
GUGGGGAAUUUUGGACAAUGGGGGCAACCCUGAUCCAGCAACGCCGCGUGGAGGAUGAAGGUUCUCGGAUUGUAAACUCCUUUUGCAGGGGACGAAAUUUUGACGGUACCCUGCGAAUAAGCCACGGCUAACUACGUGCCAGCAGCCGCGGUAAUACGUAGGUGGCAAGCGUUACUCGGAAUUACUAGGCGUAAAGCGCAGGUAGGUGGUCAGAUAAGUCCGUAAUUAAAGCUCCCGGCUUAACUGGGAGACGCGUAUGGAUACUGUCUGACUCGAGUAUGGGAGAGGUGACUGGAAUUCCUGGUGUAGCGGUGAAAUGCGUAGAGAUCAGGAGGAACACCGACGGCGAAAGCAGGUCACUGGCCCAGUACUGACGCUGAGCUGCGAAAGCUAGGGGAGCAAACAGGAUUAGAAACCCUUGUAGUCC